CUUUCUGAAUUAGAAGAAUGUCCCACAGAAACCAGGGGUAACUGGAGCUACACCUACAAAGAUACACAAGGGACUAGCAUUUGCCAGUCGAAUUCCUCCCUUGAUGCCUGUAGUCAAAACACUACUUUUACCUUUGAUUACACCAAAUGUGCCAAUGAUAUUAUGUUUUCAACUGAAGGACGUUUACAUUGCAUUUUUUCUAUCAAUAUUACGCCAUCUUCGUAUUACACAACGCUAUACAAUGCCGACUCAGCAACAAACGAAAAUAGCACUUUUCGAUUUUCAUGCAUUUACAUAGAAUUGGUAUCUGCAGACUUGGUUCAUAUAACGCAGUAUCCCCAGCACUGUCAUCCACAGCAAACAGCAACAGAUGUUCCC